CGCUUUAAGUGCGAAAAAGGCACAACUGGCUCAAGCCAACAAUGGUGGGUGGAACAACAAAAAAGGGAGCUCAAGUGGAGUCUCGUGGUCUUACAAGGCACUGCGAGGUAGCGGAAUGGGACCUGUAAUGAAGUAUCUUAGAUCUCAGAAAGAGAUAUGAGAAACUAGGCUUAAAUCUUUAAAACUCUCAUUUGGGGGACGUGAAGAAGAGAAACCAUUUUGUUUUGAUGAGGUGUAGGCAUGGCUGAGUUUUCGUUCGGGUAAGGGUUUUAUUAUGUAUAGAGAAAAACGAUGGAUGUUACUCUCCUUCCACGAUCAUUUUAUUUUUAUGUCGAUCAUAUCUAUUUUUUGAGUUCCAUGUUGCUUCUGAUAGAAAACCCUGUGAAAUGGAACAAGCUCAAAAACAUUAAAAAGAAACCGACUUCACUGGGGAUCGAACCCAGAAUCUCUGGUUUCGUAGACAAGCGCCUUAUCCAUUGGGCCAUGAAGUCUUUUUGUUCUUUCUAUCAAUGUAUAAGAUAUUUAUAUAAUAAACUAUUUGGAACUUCCAAAGAUAACUUGACCUAUCGGGCCAUGGAGUCGUAAGAUGUAGCCAUUCGACGGCGAAAGCAAUUUACCAAAUACUUCGAUCCUGAGCCCAUGAGUUGCAGUCUUAGGACUAGCCCAAAUAAACCACGUGUGUCAGAUCCAGACUUCCAGUGACUGAAAGAAAGCCUUUAUUGUCUUCACAAGCCAGCCAGCCAGCUAAAAAAGUCAACUUUGUUUUGACCUACAUUCCCGUAAGUCGCGUUACAUGCGAUCAAUUCAAACACACUUCGCUGUUCUGUUCCUUUUUCAGUCCAAAGUUAUCUCUUCCUUUUGAUUCUUCUAUUUAAAUCCUUUGUCCUUUACUAUCUUUUCUUUUUCACUUAUCUCUCUCUCCACUCUUUAACCCUGCCCAGCUAAAACAAAAAUUCUCAGUCAAACAAAAUUCAUCAGAAUUUUUCAAAGACGACGGCUUCUUUUAAAUUAAUCGAAGUUGAUCAUUCGUCUCCACUCUCCUUAGUAUUUGGUUUUAUUUACAUCUUUUUAAGUUUCUCUAACGAUCUUUGCUUGCUCCGUUACUUGUAAAAUAUUCUCUCUUUCUAGUCUCGUUUAUUUAAUUACACAGCUUUUAACGUGUAGUCUUUCGACUUCUGUUACAGAGAGUGAGGAGAGAUCUUUAUUUAUGUCCAAAUCUGAUUCGUCGUCUCUAGCUUCCCUCAAAUAGCUCCAAGUUUUAUGCUUUUGCUCACUUUCUGGUAAGUAACAGCUUUUUUCUGUUCAAUUAGUAUCACUUCUUCUAAUAGAUCUGAUUUCAUUUUGUUAUCGUUUGGAUUUGGGUUUUAGUAGUGCUCGAAUAUAUUCCAAUUAGUUCACACAUCUUUCCCUUGCCAAAAGCAAUUGCAUCAGAUUCAUAUUUUAUUAAACUCAUGUUGUUUCUGAAUGGGACCUGUAAUGAAGUAUCUUAGAUCUCAGAAAGAGAUAUGAGAAACUAGGCUUAAAUCUUUAAAACUCUCAUUUGGGGGACGUGAAGAAGAGAAACCAUUUUGUUUUGAUGAGGUGUAGGCAUGGCUGAGUUUUCGUUCGGGUAAGGGUUUUAUUAUGUAUAGAGAAAAACGAUGGAUGUUACUCUCCUUCCACGAUCAUUUUAUUUUUAUGUCGAUCAUAUCUAUUUUUUGAGUUCCAUGUUGCUUCUGAUAGAAAAC
rnacentral:lncRNA from 1 species